rnacentral:rRNA from 1 species
AGAGUUUGAUCCUGGCUCAGAUUGAACGCUGGCGGCAGGCCUAACACAUGCAAGUCGAGCGGUAGAGAGAAGCUUGCUUCUCUUGAGAGCGGCGGACGGGUGAGUAAUGCCUAGGAAUCUGCCUGGUAGUGGGGGAUAACGUUCGGAAACGGACGCUAAUACCGCAUACGUCCUACGGGAGAAAGCAGGGGACCUUCGGGCCUUGCGCUAUCAGAUGAGCCUAGGUCGGAUUAGCUAGUUGGUGAGGUAAUGGCUCACCAAGGCGACGAUCCGUAACUGGUCUGAGAGGAUGAUCAGUCACACUGGAACUGAGACACGGUCCAGACUCCUACGGGAGGCAGCAGUGGGGAAUAUUGGACAAUGGGCGAAAGCCUGAUCCAGCCAUGCCGCGUGUGUGAAGAAGGUCUUCGGAUUGUAAAGCACUUUAAGUUGGGAGGAAGGGUUGUAGAUUAAUACUCUGCAAUUUUGACGUUACCGACAGAAUAAGCACCGGCUAACUCUGUGCCAGCAGCCCGGUAAUAC